rnacentral:rRNA from 1 species
CAUGUCUUUUUGGUAUAUUAAUAUAAAGUCUAACCUGCCCAAUGAUUUAAUUAUUUAAUGGCCGCGGUAUUUUGACCGUGCAAAGGUAGCAUAAUCAUUAGUUUUUUAAUUGAAAGCUGGUAUGAAAGGUUGAAUGAGAAAAUAACUGUCUUUAUGAUAUUUAAUUAUAAUUUUAUUUUUAAGUUAAAAAGCUUAAAUUUAAUUUAUAGACGAGAAGACCCUUUAGAGUUUUAUAAAAGUUUAGAUUUAAAUUUUUUAGUAUUUAUAAAUUUAAAUUUAAGCUUUUAUUUGGUUGGGGUGAUUGAAAAAUUUAAUAAACUUUUUUUAUUAUCUUACAUUUAUUUAUGAAUUUUUGAUCCAUAAAUAGUGAUUAUAAGAUUAAAUUACCUAAGGGAUAACAGCGUUAUUUUUUUUGAGAGUUCUAAUCGAAAAAAAAGAUUGCGACCUCGAUGUUGGAUUAAAAUUAAAUUAUGGUGUAGAGGCUAUAAACUUA